ACUCGUUCGCACAGCCGUGGCCCGUGGACCGUGGUAGCCCGCGCACUGGCUCCCCGUCCCCAAUCCCCUCGCAGCUGCUCUACGCUCCAGCCAAUCUUGUUGCCCUGACUUGCCGCCUGGAUCCAUGCCUCGCUGGCGACUAUGCCCGUCCCGCACCGGCCCGGCGCCACCGCGCCCAGCCUAGUCUGCACUCGGCAGUCGGCGCUCGGCAGUCGGCGCUCGGCAGUCAGCGCUCGGCGCUCGGUAGCCGGCGUUCUGCAGCUGCAGCAGGCCAGCCGUCACCCUCCCGGCAUGAUUUGAGGUACCUUUGAUGAGAUUUCUGCUCGUUCCCCAAUUUUUGUUUACUCUUACUCAUUGCUCGGCAUGCUUCUACCUGCCAGUACUGCUCAUUAUGGAUUUAGGCUUGCUGUGCUCUUUUAUGAAUUGUAAUGCAGUACUGCUGAAUUCUGUCUAGAAUGUUACUACUUACUACUGAACUAUUUCAGUUUGGGCCAAAAAUAAAUAAAUCUAUGUGGCAUCUUGAGCUGUAAUUUCCAAGAAUUUUACUAAUUACUACCAAAUUGUUUCAGUUUAGGUCAAAAAAUUGAUACAUUGUUCUCAUUUUUUGAAUCAAUAAAUGUCAUUGUCACAUUGAAGAACAGAAUGUCAAUCAUGAUCACAUGAUUACAUACAUAUAUCAAAUGUGGAAGAAUGAACGCAUGCAGGUAGUCUUUGAACUUUUCAAGGUAUGCAGGAUUCUUUUAUGCAAAAUUGAGACUUAUUUGAGAGAAAAAACGAUCAAUUUAUCUUGUGCUAUUGGUAAAUUAAUUAGUACAUUCGCAGUUGUAAAAAAAAUUAUUAGGUUGGACCACCCUGGUUCAAAAUCCUAGAUCCGCCACUGCUUAUGGGAGAUUGGUUUUGGAGUAUGCAGGAGAUAGUUUGUGGCUGCUCUGGAAACCUGAAGAAGAGUAACAUACGGACUUGCCGAUGCAGAUGCCCCACAAUGAUAAGAUUACUUCGAUCAAGCGACAAUGGGUGGUACAUAAAUAUGGCCGGAGUGGAUCGGAAGAACAUGCUUUCCAGACGGUGGGCAGCAUGAAAUCGAGUAUAUCAGUGCCUAGUAUUCUCGUCAUCAAGUAGGAAACAAACUAGCAAGGUGCACACUUUGUGGGUGCAUGUCAGGAGCUCGCAGCUCCUCGCUGGAUCCCUUGUGUGGCACGCAGGCGUGGAAACCUGCUGAUUUGGAGGUCGUCAAGGCUAGGACGAACGCAGUGGAUGGAACAGAGCCAAGCGAGAGAUAGAAAAGGGACCGCAACAACGGUGCGGCAAAGCAGGCAGGAGGCGCACAUGCAUUCAUCAGUAUUGUAUUUCACAUGCAGUACGAGUUGUUGCUUCAUACCUUCUGUUCUUUUGCAUCAUGUCUAAACAUUGUAUGUUUCAUAGGUGUGAAUAAAGAAAACUAAUCUUGAUUCAAGAAAACACAUUCAUGUAGUGACUACUAUUCGAGAAUUGAAGCAUCCAAGAGCUG